UUUGGCCAUAUCACGUUGAAACACCGGUUCUCGUACGAUCACCGAAGUUAAGCAACGUCGAGCCUGGUCAGUACCUAGAUGGGUGACCGCUUGGGAAUACCAGGA
rnacentral:rRNA from 1 species